UUGAAUGUGAUUUUAAAGAGUGGA
rnacentral:piRNA from 1 species